ensembl:lncRNA
GCUGGAUUCAGUUUGCCAGUAUUUUACUGAGGAUUUUUGCAUUGAUAUUCAUCAGGGAUAUUGGUCUAAAAUUCUCUUUUUUUGUUGUGUCUCUGCCAGGCUUUGGUAUCAGGAUGAUGUUGGCCUCAUAAAAUGAGUUAGGGAGGAUUUCUUCUUUUUCUAUUGAUUGGAAUAGUUUCAGAAGGAAUGGUACCAGCUCCUUCUUGUACCUCCGGUAGAAUUCAGCUGUGAAUCCAUCUGGUCCUGGACUUUCUUUGGUUGGUGAGGCGAUGCCUCACCCUGCUUCAGCUCUCUGGUCCGGCUGCACUAGCUGACCAGCACCGAUUGUCCGGCACUCCCCAGUGAGAUGAACCCGGUACCUCAGUUGAAAAUGCAGAAAUCACCCGUCUUCUGUGUCGCUCGCGCUGGGAGCUGGAGGCUGGAGCUGUUCCUUUUCGGCCAUCUUGCUCGCACCCCCUACAUUUUGACAUCAUUUUCAUCAUCAGCAAGAAAGACCUCACCAGACAUGGGCCCCUUGACCUUGGACCUCCUCGUUUCAGAACUCUAUAUGCCAUGUCCUGGAGACACUCAGGCAGCAGUCCUGUGGAAAGGCCUACUUUGUGAAGAAAUGAAAUCUCCAGCUCAUAGCCAUGAAGCCUGCUAACAACUGCAGGAGCCAUCUUGGAGGCUGAUUCCCCAGCACCAGGAGAAACAGGGAUGACAGCAGACCCUGUUGGCAGCUCAGUUGCAACCUUAUAUGAGACCCUGAGGCAGAGUCACCCAGAUGAGCCACUCUGGGAUUCCUGAUCCUUAGAAACUAUGUGAGAUAAUGAACAUUUGUUAUUGUUACCUGGGAAGUUUUGGGUAGCUUGCUACACAGCAAUAGAGAACUAAUACAGGCAAGUACUGUUAUUAUCCUCAUUACAGAUGAGCAGAUAAAACAGAGGAAGGUGGAGUCACCUGUCCUGGACACGUGGCUGGGAAGUGGUGGAAGGCAGACCCACACUGUCUGACCUCUGAGCUCACAUUCUGAACUCCGGUGGUUUAUAAACAUGAUGCGAUGUCUUUUAUACACUGCUUCGUUUAUUUGAAGUCCUCAAGUCUUAUUUGAAGUCUCAGGUGUAUUUGUAGUCUUUCCUUUUAAUUUGCCCCAAAUUUCAAGAUUGGUGGAUAAUUUCAGAGGGAUUAAGAUUAAUAGGGAGUCUAAAAGUCUUUAAAAUUAUUUUACUUAUAGUUUAAAAUAAUGUUUAUAUGUAAUCUAACAUUUGUAUGUUUGGGAAUCUUAUGUCACAGAAUAGAGAUGUCAGAGGUGGCUCAUAGUUUUAGGAAAGGAGUAAGGAAGUCACUGACCUUCCAUUUACAGGGUGAGAUUUGAAUUGGACUUCUAUGUAGAUACAUGGUUUUCACUCAUUGAAAGCAUGCAGAGAAAGAGUCACACAUGAGAAGAAUACAGUAUUAUCAAUUCUGGUAAGCAUAGAUCAAGGGUUGGCGGAUUUCUUUAGAUGUCAAGAUCAGACUUGAUUACACAACUUUUGCUCUGAAUUCAUGUGGCCAUUGAUUUGAAAGUCAAGAAAGCCCCAGGUUUUAAUUCCUGUGUCAUUGCAGAGGUUUCUUGGUGAAGUUUCUGCAUUAUGUUUUUCCUUUCUCAUCUGCAAACCUCUCAGUUUUCUACCCUGCAGUUGGAGAGAGAAAGAGGCUGCGCUGCUUCCUCCCAAGUCUCUCAGUUCUCCUUACUUUCUUGUUUCUGACCCCUUGGUUUGGUGAGAGGCAUGUGGACUGGCUGUAAGGUCGUGGGCAGCAUGUGACCACUCCGGUUUUACGUGGAAAAUUGCAAGCCACCUGCUUGAAGUCACUCGAAGAAUGAAUGAUAAGGCCUCCCAGUCUGGUUACCCUUCCACCUCUGCUGCUCAGUUUGCUUCUAAGUCUUACUUGAUGCAGGAUAAUUCUUUACUCAGUCAUGGAAGGUGACCAAUAGAACAUCUAUCUUAUAUUCCCUGUGCCACUGUUACUUGGAUCUUUCUUAUCUCCCUAGUGGAUUGGAAGCUCUUGGAGGUAGAAAAAUGGGAACAGAGCCUUGCCUACAGCAUAGCUCAAUAUAUACUUAUGCUAUUGAUAAAUAAGAGUAAAAGGACAGAUGGAAGCAAGGGUGGAUGAUGGAACUAUGAAGCAUACUGAGUUUUCCUACUAAUGUUGCCUUGCUAAUGUGCAUUGAAUAAGAAAACAAAACCUUAUAUGUAUUUUGAAUGUACGAAACAGGUCAGCUCAAAAUAGGUAUUUUACUUUAAAUAAAAGUGGCCUUGGUGUGGUGGCUGACACGUGUGUAAUACUAGCACUUUGGGAGGCAGUGGUGGGAGGAUCCCUUGAGUCCAGGAGUUCAAGACCCGCCUGGACAACAUAGUGAGACCCUGUAUCUACCAAAAAAUUUAAAAGAUUAGCCAAGCAUGGUGGUGUGUACCUGUAGUCUCAGCUACUUGGGGGGUUGAGGUGGAAGUAUCUCUUGAGCCUAGGAGGUUGAGGUUGUAGUGAGCUGUGAUUGUGCUGUUGUGCUACAGCCUGGAUGACAGAGGAAGACCUGUCUGGGAAAAAAAAAAAAAAAAAAAUUUGCCCAGAGCAUAAAGUUCAGUUUCAAAAAUUCAUUUUAUAGCCAACUUUUCAGUGAUUGACCUGUUGGUAAAGUUUUAUCAUAAAUAAUUUAAAGCAGAGACCAUUUUCUGGCUUGGCAGAUGUUUUAUUUUAAAAAAUCUAUUAUAUUUUAAUUGUCUAUUUCCACAUGCACAUUGUUUUUUUGGCUGGGAAGAGAAAGUUAAUUGAUGGUUGAUUUAUGUUCUGCCUUUUCCCAAAGGAUUAGAAGUUGUUUACUGCUAAAUCAUAAUGCAAAAUGUAACUUUCCACGGCUGGUAACCACACGGUGCUUUCCUGGUGAUAAUGUUGUUCUGUAACACUGUUUACCACAUUAUAAUGCAUCAUAUUAGAGAUGCACAAAUGAAUAGAUUCAGAGGCAGAACAAGCAAUAAAGUUUUCUACAACCAGAAUAAAUAAAUAAGGUGGGCUUAGGAUGGGUGGAGAACAUGGGUGUCCAGUGGUUGCAUAGAGAAUGAAGAGUUAAGACUUUGGAUGGUUCUAUCUAUGUGGUGGACAGUGAACAGAGAAUCAUAACUAUAAGACAUAUUCUGAUAGUAUAGUUGUAAGUAAUUUUACGUUAUAAAAGUGUUUCCUCAUUACUAUUUCACAACAAAACCCACUGUUUACUGAAUACCUGUGACACUGUGUGACAUAUAUUAGGCACCUAAUAAGCCAGCACAGGGCAGAGUUAUUCUUCUAAUCUCUCCGGCUUCCCCUUCUGCAGCAUCUCUACUCUCUUCAGCCAGAGAAUGUUCUCUUCUUUUAAGGGACCUUAUCUGAUUAGAGAAAGCCUACCUGAUUAACCUCUGGGUAACCUUAAGGUCAACUGGCUUGGGACUUUAAUAACAUCUGCAAAAUCCUUUUUGCCACAUGGCAUGACAUAAGUAUGGGUGUAACAAUAGAAGCUGAAGUCACGGGGGCCAAAAUUCUACCCACUACAGCCAUAAAGCUAGAAAGCAGCAGCUUCAAGAGCCUAAUCAAGGUCUAACUGGCUUCCAAGUCUGUAUUCAUUCAUCAUACCAUGAAUAUUCAUGAGUUAAAAUAAGAAAAACAUAUUAGAAAAUAGUUUAGGAUCCCCA